CGUGUGUGACAGAGGGAGAGGGAGAGAAAGAGAGAGAGAGGCGAGAGCCUACCCGAAGAGCGGAAGGCAGGAGGGCAAUCUGGCACCACGGCUGGGAAAGGAAACUUGAUGCUUCUGGGCUUCCAUUUGCCGUGGCCUCGCGCUGGGGGAGCCUGUUUGUGUGCUGCAGCCGAGCUGUGACUCUGGAUCUUGUCUUCGGGCCGGCGCCUCGGUUCCUGCCCAGCUGGAUUUAGGGGGCAACAUUGCCUGAUGCAGGGAGAUCAAAUUAGACUGCAAAGAAGAUGAAUAGAAUGAAUAGACAACCCAACCAACCAAAGACCGGGGGCAGCAGCACGCCAGCAAGACGGCAUCUUCUCCUCAGCCUAGAAGCCCUGUGAAAUCGAGGAUCUUCCCCCUAAAACACACACACACAAGAUAUGUGCAAUCAAGCUGCCACCGCUUGGUAAAAAGCUCAUGGUGCCUAACCCAAAAGGAUCAGGAGCAGAUCCUUGAAUCAGCUGUCACUUCUAUAGAACGGGAUUUUUUUUUUUUCCUUCCUCCUUAACCUGCGCUGGAAA